rnacentral:rRNA from 1 species
CCUACGGGAGGCAGCAGUGGGGAAUAUUGCGCAAUGGGCGAAAGCCUGACGCAGCGACGCCGCGUGAGGGAUGAAGGUCUUCGGAUCGUAAACCUCUGUCAGCAGGGAAGAACGGUCACUGUGCUAAUCAGCAGUGAAUUGACGGUACCUGCAAAGAAAGCACCGGCUAACUCCGUGCCAGCAGCCGCGGUAAUACGGCGGGUGCGAGCGUUAAUCGGAAUUACUGGGCGUAAAGCGCUCGUAGGCGGUAUGUCAAGUCAAGGGUGAAAUCCCCGCGCUCAACGUGGGAACUGCCGUUGAAACUGGGAAACUGGAGUGUGUGAGAGGAUAGUGGAAUUCCAGGUGUAGGAGUGAAAUCCGUAGAUAUCUGGAGGAACAUCAGUGGCGAAGGCGACUAUCUGGAACAUAACUGACGCUGAGGAGCGAAAGCGUGGGUAGCAAACAGGAUUAGAUACCCGGGUAGUC